CGUUAGAAAACUAGCAGACAAUUGCACUGGUUUGCAAGGAUUCUUGAUUUUCAAUGCUGUCGGUGCUGGUACUGGAUCUGGUUUGGGCUCCUUGCUGUUGGAAAAGGCUUUCGGUUGAUUAUGGAAAAAAAUCAGAGCUUGGUUUUACCAUCUGUCCUUCACCUCAGAUCAUCUCCUCCUUGACCACUUCGCUUGGGUUUGAUGGCACUAUCAAUGUUGAUAUAACAGAAUUCCAAACAAACCUUGUACCAUAUCCUAGGAUCCGUUCCAUGCUUUCCUCUUAUGCGCCCGCUAUCUCUGCUGCGAAAGCAUACCAUGAACAGCUCUCGGUUCCUGAAAUCACAAAUGCUGUCUUUGAGCCCUCGAGUAUGUUGGCAAAGUGUGACACGAGACGUGGGAAGUGCAUGGCCUGUUGUUUGAUGUAUAGUGGGGAUGUUGUGCCCAAGGAUGUUAAAGCAGCAAUUGAAACUAUUAAAACCAAGUGGACUGUCCAAUUCGUGGACUGGAGCCAACGCAGAGGCAGCUGGAAUUGAGGUUGGAAGCUGGAAUUGAGGCUGGAAGCUGGGAAUCUGGGAAGGAGCUGACUGUGUAUACCUGUGGGACUGAUAUGCAAGAAUAAGGACUGAUACGCAAAAGAUUGGGGCUAGCAUGCAAAGUCUCAAAGUUUGAGGGCUAUAAUACUUGUUGACUGUUUGUUUGUUAGUUCUGUUAGAGAUUUCACAAGUGUGCACGUGCACAGUUAGGAG